GUCGAGUGGGCUCUGGAGAAACGAUAGCACGUCAAGAAUAGAUGUUUUCACCCGCCAUUUGGCUUCGCACGAAUAAUUAAUAAUUCCGUUGGUCUCAAUAUGGAAAUCAUUGUUAAUGAGCUGUAUGCGAUUAACACUUAAGUGACUACCCUUACUAGGAGAAGACUUACAGAUUAUCCAAUAUAUAUAAAUAGUGUUUAUAAAAAAUGUUUAGUAAGACCAAAUAUUGUCGAGUUUGAUAUAUGAAGAUUAUAUGUUUUUUUAUUGGAUGAGAAUUGUACCCGAGACCAUUGCGGUUGUAUAUUAAAACGAGGCUUAAAUUGCUAACCUG